CGGCCCUGGGCCCGGCACGGGACGGGGAAAGAUAACCGCAAAAUGCGGUGCUGAUAACCGCACGCAUAGGCGAGAUAACGAGACUAACAGUUGAGAUAGGGACGGAUAGAACGAGAUUACUCUAGAUCUUGGAGCUGAUCAGCUGAUCACAAGAAUAUUUCGUGGAUUUCAGACCACGAUCUAAACAUUAUCCUAGUUUUCAUCGAUACUCAAAUCAAAGAAUACGAUCAAGUGAAAUAGAAAUCAGAUUUUAACAGGGAUUCAUAGAAAUUGAGUUUUUAAGUCCUUCCGUCGUCUCCCAUGGUUGUGAUGGAGGGUGGGCGUGGUUUGAUGGAGAGUGGGCGUGGUUGGUAUGAAGGGCAGGAACUGCAGGGUUUAAACCACGCCUCCUCCUCCCCCCACCCUGGACUAAACCAACAGACAGAUAGUCCACACACACAUCAACAUUUACAGGAGCCAGAUACAGAUGGGUACUUCAAGGAGAGGGCGGAUACAGAUCCAUACUUCAAGUCGAAUACGGCGGCUAGCCAAUACUUUAGCCAGGCAGCUGCCUUGCAAUCAGCUUACGGAAAUAUGUCACAAGGAAGGUCGGGUGGAGAAGGUCAGAUAUCUAGUAGAUCACAGUUCUACUCUCCUCUUCAUUCAAUGGCUUGGGGAGCUUUCUCCAGCAGCUCCUCAGCAACAUCAGCAGCUUCUAAACCUUAUUCUUCAUUUGGAUAUCCUCCUACUCCACCUAAGGAAUCUCCAGUGUUAUCCUCUACACCUACCUCUCUACCUUUAGAUACUACUUUAUAUAAACCUGCAGAGGAUCAGUUGGUGGAUGGUGGAGAUGACGCCCAUGGCCAACUUGAUUUAAAACCAAGUACAGAACAUCUAAUGCAGAUGGGACUAGGAUAUAAUAGGAAAAUGCAUGACGGUCCGUCCUCCUACCCUGGUCCACCUGAGUCUCCGGCAAGCUCAGGUUACUAUGGUUACAAUGGAUCAGUAUACUCGAAUUAUAGUUCUUCAUUAUUCCAAUCAAAGUACACUGACUCCUCAAAAUCUAAAAAUAAACCUAUUGCUGAGGGUAGAGAGUGUGUGAACUGUGGUGCAACAUCUACUCCGUUAUGGAGACGGGAUGGAAAUGGUCACUAUCUUUGCAAUGCCUGCGGUCUUUAUUACAAAAUGAAUGGACAGAACAGACCUCUUAUCAAGCCCAAAAGAAGAUUGUCAUCAGCAAGACGGGAGGGCACAAGUUGUGCAAACUGUAAAACAACGACAACAACUUUAUGGAGAAGGAAUCAGAACGGUGAACCUGUCUGUAAUGCCUGUGGUCUAUACUUCAAACUACAUAAUGUCGAGAGACCCUUGACAAUGAAGAAGGACGGUAUACAGACAAGAAACAGGAAACUGUCCGCGAAAUCGAAGAAGAAGCGCGCCGGUAUGGCAGAUUUCUUUAGAACAGGUUUAGAUGGAAGAUGGGGGAUGGGAAUGGGAUACUUUAGUUCUCCGAUGUCCGGAUACUAUCAUCAGAUGGCUCCCAUGUCUGGCAUGGCGAGCCAGUUCAUGAGCCCUAGCACUAUGUAUAUGGGUGGUAUGACCGGGAUGGGAAUGAGUGGGAUGAGUGGUAUGACCGGUAUGAGUGGGAUGAGCGGAAUGAGUGGGAUGCAGAGUAAUGGAGGUUUGAAUCUUGCCUCACACUCACUCACGCACUCACAUUCUCCGUUCUCAUUAGGGAAUACUGGAGUACAGUCUAGUAUAGAAUCCUCAAUGAUCGGAGCUACACCCUGCUGAUCCAUGAUCGUAGAUACUCCCUGUUGAUUCAUGAUCGUUAUUACUCCCUGCUGAUCCAUGAUCGUUAUUACUCCCUGUUGAUUCAUGAUCGUUAUUACUCCCUGUUGAUUGAUGAUCGGUGAUGCUCACUGUUUAUCACUGAUCGUUGCUGUUGCUACUCUUUGUUGAUAAAUAUAAUGAUAGAAACAAUUACUUUGUUGAUCAGUUUACAAUGAUCGGAGCUAUAUAUUAGUAAUCAAUGAGCUACCACUAUUGAUCAAUAUAAUGUGGAUUGGUAACCCCAAAUGAACAAUGAUCAUAGCUGCGAUCAAUAUUAUCGUUGCUGUAAUUUUAGUACUCAGUGCAAUGAUAGAAAUUACACCGUGCCGAUAAAUGCAAUCAACAUCGAGGUACAAACCCGUCGAUCAAUGAUAGGACAACCAAGAAAAUAUUUCCCCUUCCAGAAAUUAAAAGAAUACAUAUUGAUGAUCAUUUUAAUUAAUAUUUUUUAUAAAAUCAUUCUGCAAUUUCUUUGCGUCUAACAAGGCAACACUACGUCAUUAAUGACACUCGACAUUAUAGUUAAAAUUACAAAGUUCUCAAAACGGCAAACACUUUUAAAUAAGUUAGCUUUAAAAAUAGCCAACUGGCUUUCAUUGUAAGGGUAUAUAUGACUGCCAUCUUUGUUUACAUAAUCAAAUCGGAAAAAUCAAAAUUCUCAAAUUCCAAAUGAGAUUUGUAAAUGAAGGAAUUAUCAAUGUGCUCUUAGUUUUCAUACCUUGUGAUUUAUCAAUGCUGUAGUCAAUUAUCCCCUGUGAAAUAUGCAAAAUUUGCAACAAACUUGUUUAGCGACUGUGGUCGUCAAAAUAUAGUGGAAUAAAAUGACGACAAUUGCUCUUGAAACUUCUUUUGGGUUAAGAGUCGUUAGUUGCUUUCCAUUAUAUUUUAUGGACCACUGUAUUUGUUUCAAGUGACCGUUAUAAGUCUCUAUGUAUAGUCUAAUAUUCCUUUUGCAAUGCAAUUUUGAAAAAAAAAAUUAACGCUGUCUUUGACUCUAUCCUUUCAAACCAAUUUGACACUUUUUUGCAAAUUGUUUAACUAUGCCUGAACCCUACAGAUUGUUUGCAAUAUAUUGCAAUAAUAAACCCUGAAUAGUGAAUAUUCAGAGUUGGAAACUUUUGAAUGAAUGGAUCUAAUCUAAAUCGAUUCAAAUGUUAUUUCUAUCUAAAAGUUUCCAGCUUAUUCAGAAUAUUUAAUCCAAUGAUGUUUAAAGUGUUUAACCAAGUUUAGUUUAAAUAUUAUUAAUACUAGUAAUUAUUACAAUAUAUCUACCUUAUUUAUUUUGUAACU
rnacentral:misc_RNA from 1 species